GACUGCUCAAGUGGUCUAGUGGUUAGAGCAUCUGCCUCGGAUGUGGGAGGUCGUGGGUUCACACCCCGGCUGAGUCA